GCGUUUUAUAACUUGGUGGAUGCAGAUGCUUAGCAAAUCAUUCACUAGGCUUGUGAAUAUGAUCAAACAUGCUGCAAUCAUCUACUAUGAAGUAACCAUCCAUUCUACAGGAAUCCCUAUGCUCACAAGGACAAGAGCUGUAUGAAAAAAAAAACCCCAAAAGAAAUUGUGCAAGGAAAGUUUGAAGUGUCUGUGGGAAUGAUCAUCAUCCAACUUUCUGAG